CAAAUCAAAAACUGAGAAAUCGGGCAUGCAAAAUUAUUCAGCCCCUUUACUUUUUACUUCAAUGUUUCAAUAGUUGUUUUUUUAAAGUAUGCUUGCGUAACACAGCCCUUCUAGGACAGCCAUUCCACUUCCUAUUAGUCCCAUUCCAAUGAAUAUAAUUUGCAGUACGUCUUGCAGUGACAGCAGGUUAAGGGUAGAAAAAAUUGAGGUUAGUUAUAAAAAGUAAUUUUAUAUAAAUCAAUGGAAUUACAUAACAACCCAUUAGUCAUAUAGGCUAUGUUAGUGAUCAUAUCAUUACUUUUAUUUAUUUAAGCAGAACUUUGCGCGUUUAAAAAAAAAUUGAUUGAGAAACAAAACAGUCGGUUGCUUUAGCAAUGAGAAAAUUCCAUUGGUCAUAAAGUAAUAUUCCUCUCACCUUGCGAGUUUAAAUGAAAUCACCAAAUCGACGCAUAUCUUAGUGGCUAGCUAUGUGAACAGUGUCUGGUAAACAUUAACGUUAGCCAGUACAAUCUUUGCUUCCGAAGCAGCACGUGGAAAAUUGAUUCAGAUUAUAUGGUAAGAAAUGAAAAUAAUAAAUAUGACGUACCAGAAGAAACCGAAUUACAUGUUUCAUUCAAUAAUUAAGUGGAUUGGAAAGGAGAAAGUAUAAUUGGUCCAUUUGGCGCAAGCUACCUAACGUUCGCUAGCUUGCUAUCGUUAUCUAACGUGACCUGGCUGGCAUGCAUUUUGAGACCACAUGGUAUAUUCAAUUACAAACCAAAAUAAAACACCGUCAGGAAAAAGUUUGGAGUAAUGAAAACACGGAGGAGGCUAUAGGGUCAUGUCAAUCAGUAAUGGCAUAUGUAAUGUUUAAAGUACCAAGGUCCACCACAGGUGACAGAAAAAGUGGAAAGGUUCCUUCCCCCCACCAAGGCCAGAGUGGCAUACGGCACUGCCAUUAGGAGUUAGAAGAAACUCCGGAGGUAACGUCACCCCAUUAGGCCAAACAUAGUGGUUGUUUUUUAGACGGAGGCAAAACCCCAGAGCAUGCAGAAGGUAGACGACGUCCUUAAUAGAUGCACAGCCAACCAGGCUACAAAACCGGAUAUGACUGAAUACUUUGAGCUCCUGGAGAAGACGCUGGAGCAACAUGGGUUGAAGGAUAAACCCUGUCAGAUUUACAACUGUGCUGAGACAGGGUUCCAGAUGGAUGCAUCUAAAAGAAAGGUCCUUGCACCAAAGCGCUCAAAAUAAUUGCAUCCAGUCACUUGGUACACGUCACCGUGUGUCAGUACUGGCUUGCUUUAAUGCGGCUGGUGAAGAUGUCCCCCCUUUCAUAAUUUUUGUAAAGAGAUUCCCAGGAGGACCUUACACCAAGGAAGGUACAGCUAAUGCUCUGAAACAUCGCCAUCAGGAUACAUUGACUAUGAACUCGUCAGGGGGUGGUUUAGGAAUCAUUUAAUCAAGUAUGCUGUGAAAACACGCCCCCUGCUGCUGGUGUUUGAUGGAAACAAAAGUCACCUUGAUCCGGAUGUGAUUGAGGCAGCAAGAAAAUAACAUUGUGGUCCUAGUUCUUCCUCCAAACAGCUCUCACGUUCUGCAGCCCUUGGAUUUGACCUACUUCUCUGCUUUGAAGACUGGGUUUUUCAAGGUGGUUGGAGACCUUUGCCACUUAAACUCCGUAGUCAUUUCCAAUAUGGACUUUCCCGUGGUUCUCCGUAAGCCGUACCAGCAAUGUAAAGAGCGGAAGAUUGUAGUCAGUGGGUUCAGAAAAAUUGUGAUCUUCCCCUUUAAUCCCAGUGCCAUAGAUUGGAGUAAAGUAGUUCCCUUGACAUCCAAAAAGCAACAGCCCCAAAAGACUGCGACUCCAUCAGCGCCACUCCAUCAGCGCCACCAUCAGCAGUAACUCCCAGCAAGUACAUGUCCACACCCUGGUGGCAGCAGGACUGAAUAAUCCAGAAUUGGCUGAGGUCUUCACAGAGAUGGAUAAUUAAAAGAAGACUGCACCAAGACCAAGUAAGAUGAAGACCCCACUGUAAGCUAGGGUUAUUGAGGAAGAGUAUGAGAGGGAGAUGAGACUGGAGUCUGCAAGGAAAAGAGACAGCAAGACACCACCUCCUCGUAGCACAACCCCCCCGAUGCCACGGAGAACCUCCAACCAGCCCUGCUACUUCUCCAUCAGAGGGGGAAACUGCAUCUCCCGCAGGUCACAUCAGAGUACUGAGGAGGGGAGAGACUGAGAACUGGAAGCUGAACAACAAAAUAGCAGAGGUCCUCAAACCAAGAGAGCUGGGUUGAGGCACAAGAGAUUGGACUAUGGUGAUAACUCCCAACGAUGAGGAUGGUUAUGGUAUCAAUCAAGCCUCAGCCAAGAAUCGGAUGAUGACAUCACCGAUGACAGUUCAGAUGACGAACCCUUGGUUAAGAUGAUGACCAGGAAGCCAUCAAAUGAGGAGCUGAAAACAACAGUUAAGAAACUGGGUGCCCAUGUCGACCUGGAGAAAGUCACAAGGACAUUUUCAAGAAGGUUUUUAAAAUGUACCCUCGUCAUGACCUGUCAAACAAGAAUUCCUACAUCAAGGAGACAGUGAAAAAGUUGUCGGAGUGAAGUCUGGAGUUCUUUGCUAAACGCCACCCUCCAUGAGGCGGCAGCAAGUAGCCUAGUGGUUAGCAUUGGGACAGUAACCAAAAAGGUUUCUGGAUCGAAUCCCGUGCGGACAAGGUAAAAAGUGUCAUUCUGCCCCUGAAGCAAGGCAGUUUAACUCACUGUUCCCCGUGCGCCGAAGACGUGGAUGUUGAUUAAGGCAGCCCCUCCCCCCCACCCCGCAC